GGGAAGCAGUAUGACUUUCUGACAUCUAGAACUACUGGAUUAUGAAAAUCUCAUCCAAGGCAAUGUCCAUUCUUUGAAGCUGAUGCAGAGGGAUGGCCUGCCCUGUGGACAGUGUUCAUCUUUCCCUGUCACUCCUACUCAUGCAGAGGAGAGACCUAAGAAAGAGAGUGGUCACAGCCCCACUGUCUCGUGAAGUCCUGGAUCAGAACAUGGAUCAAAACCAAC